rnacentral:rRNA from 1 species
UACGGGGGGGGCUAGCGUUGUUCGGAAUUACUGGGCGUAAAGCGCACGUAGGCGGCUUUGUAAGUUAGAGGUGAAAGCCCGGAGCUCAACUCCGGAAUUGCCUUUAAGACUGCAUCGCUAGAAUUGUGGAGAGGUAAGUGGAAUUCCGAGUGUAGAGGUGAAAUUCGUAGAUAUUAGGAAGAACACCAGUGGCGAAGGCGGCUCACUGGAUCGGUACUGACGCUGAGGUGCGAAAGCGUGGGGAGCAAACAGG